ensembl:lncRNA
UGGAAACUGAACCAUGCCCACGGUAGACAUAACACAGAGACCUCCUCCAGAGCGUGGUCCCCUUUGGUGGGGAGCGUAAGGCAGGGCUGGCACAGGAGAACUUGGGCUGGCUCCGUCAGCUUGGUGCUUCCACCCAGCAACAUCUCUCCAUGUGGGAACAGAAAAAUAUUAACUCAGGAACCCAUGCCCAUUAGUGAAUCGCUGUGUCUGCAACUUUACGCUCAUUAGAGUUUUAAUAAACUCCUGCCUGUUUUUAUAGGGAUUUUUUUCCACCACCUUUGAACUACUUGAAAACAAUAAAGUGCCCUCUUCACACAGGUUGGCCCAAUGGGAAGACUGACCUUAUUUCCACUCUCCUCCUGAGAGUGAUGAUGCGGCCCCACGAGCCAGGGACACUAUGAUCAAAUGAGAGAUGGACUUCAGCCUCUGCGGUGACCCCCGCAGGAAGCAACUGGACAUUUCCUCUGCACAUUGUCUUUUGCAAAGAUACAACACUGUACACCACGUCAUCUCCCCGCCUCCUCGCUGGACUCGGAGCUUCUCACUUGCUGGCCGUGGGCCGGGUGGGUCUACAGGGAUAAAGAAUGUGCACGCCAGACGUGAUGUUCGUUUUCUGAUAAUCAAUGGAUUUUAUGCAUCUGCCAAGAGUUGUGAACGGGCGAUAUGAUAUAUAGAUAGUCGGCAACUAAAUUUCAUCUCGCUCAUCAGUGCUGAUGGACAGGAAGUGGAUGCAGGUAGGUUGUGUGGAGAGAAACAUGGGGCCGGCCCUGGUGUCUGCAGGAAGAGUGAGGUGGUGGACCAGCAGGGUCCACCCUGGGGUCCAGACAGGCCAACAGCCAUGGUUUCCUACUCCCGACACCUGACACCUGCAGCAGAGGGAGCUCCCCCGGGCUUGCUCCUACCCACCCCCUCCCCGGCCCAGCCUCCCUGGGGUACCUGAGUCUCUCUGAGAGCAGCCUGCACCCAAGUCAUUGGGUCACUGGGCGUGUGGCUGGCAUGCAGGUGCUGGUGCAGUGCGUGGGUGGGGCCGAGAUCCUGGGUUUCCAACCAGCUCCGAGGUGGUGUCUGCCAACCACGUGGGGUAGAGAGGAUCUACAGUAAAUGAAUGAAGAGACCCUGACUCAGAGCCCAUCACCUUCUAAUGAUAAAAGUGUGACCAUCGCCCCCUCGCUACUGACAGCUGGGGCGACUCAGGGCCCCAUCACCUCCUCCGUCAGCCUGCCGGGGAAAACCCCCUCCUGGGUGAUGCUGCUGGGUCUUGCCUAACCCCCUGCAGCCCGCGUUGAGGUGCUGGACGCCUCCACGCAGCCCUCCCCUCCUUUCUGUCUUUUCCUCCCUCUUACCCUGGGCACCGGUCUCGUGGUCUGUGUCAGGGACCCCCGCCCUCUGGCUUCUGGCUGGGGUCGGCCAGUGGAAGCGACAGCUGGAGACUGGAGGGGGAGUCGGUGAGACCUCUCCUCCUGGGUGAUGCGCUCGUCUUCUGGAGUGUGUCCAUGGUGUGUGGAGAGCAGAGCGCCAGUCCUCAGGAGGGCACCAGGAGGAAGAGCAGAGGGCUGUCCUAACUCUGUGUUAGUUGAGUUUACUUGCUCGUAUGAUAUUUUACUUGCUCUUUCUAUUAAAUCUGUCACCUUCUAACUCAAGUCUCUCCUUCAUGAAGCCCUCCUGGA